UGCAGUCGAACGGUAGCACAGAGAGCUUGCUCUCGGGUGACGAGUGGCGGACGGGUGAGUAAUGUCUGGGAAACUGCCUGAUGGAGGGGGAUAACUACUGGAAACGGUAGCUAAUACCGCAUAACGUCUUCGGACCAAAGUGGGGGACCUUCGGGCCUCACACCAUCGGAUGUGCCCAGAUGGGAUUAGCUAGUAGGUGGGGUAAUGGCUCACCUAGGCGACGAUCCCUAGCUGGUCUGAGAGGAUGACCAGCCACACUGGAACUGAGACACGGUCCAGACUCCUACGGGAGGCAGCAGUGGGGAAUAUUGCACAAUGGGCGCAAGCCUGAUGCAGCCAUGCCGCGUGUAUGAAGAAGGCCUUCGGGUUGUAAAGUACUUUCAGCGGGGAGGAAGGCGAUAAGGUUAAUAACCUUAUCGAUUGACGUUACCCGCAGAAGAAGCACCGGCUAACUCCGUGCCAGCAGCCGCGGUAAUACGGAGGGUGCAAGCGUUAAUCGGAAUUACUGGGCGUAGAGCGCACGCAGGCGGUCUGUCAAGUCAGAUGUGAAAUCCCCGGGCUUAACCUGGGAACUGCAUUUGAAACUGGCAGGCUAGAGUCUUGUAGAGGGGGGUAGAAUUCCAGGUGUAGCGGUGAAAUGCGUAGAGAUCUGGAGGAAUACCGGUGGCGAACGCGGCCCCCUGGACAAAGACUGACGCUCACGUGCGAAAGCGUGUGGAGCAAACAGGAUUACAUACCCUGGUAGUCCACGCCGUAAACGAUGUCGACUUGGAGGUUGUG
rnacentral:rRNA from 1 species